GGGACAUGGUGUUCAGAGUAGUUGUCUCGGGUCUUUUGUUGUGGCAAAUGGCUCAGUUUUAGGCCGCACAGUGCAGCCAAUGUUUUAUUGUCAAGCUCUGUAACUAAAUAAUCAUUAAGUCUCCACUGUCUGUUUGGGAAGGACUCCUCUAUACAUAUUGUUAUGGGGGCAUGAUCGGACCAAGAAAUGUCCGAAAUUUCAUAGCGCAGAAUAAGGGGUAGGAUAUUCUCACCCACCAUGAACCUGUCGGUCCGACAGUCUUUCUCUCCUUCAUUUUGUACACGCCAACAGUCGAAUAGGCCCUGGGAAAAAAUAAAUUUGGAACAAAU